rnacentral:lncRNA from 1 species
CCAGGCAUGGAAGUAGAAUUGCUCAAACUGCAGAAAAGCCUGCGUUAUGUUACCUCCAACAGAAACACCACAUUUCUGGCAAUGAUCUUUCAUCUGGAGGAUGUUUCCCGGGACAGGGACUCUGAGGGACGAUGUUGCCAGAAAGCUGCUGGAGGAGUUGGAGAGUGGAGGAAGCAGCUGGAAAAUAAUCCAGAUGAUGAAAAGGCUGGGCUGUGCCAAGAGCUGCUGAGGCAGAAGGAACACUACAACAGAGUUGCCAAGUGCGUUAACUGGGUAAGGCUUCUGCAAGCUGCAAGGCAUGGAGCGGUGAAAUGUGAAUUCCUCAUUGAGAAAAAGCUCAAGACACAGCUCUCAGUGAUGUGCACUGCCUUUUGGGAUGGAAAGGGGUGAUCCUUCUGGAUUUCCUAGAACUCAGACCAACACCACCAAGUCUGAUCGCUACGUUGUGAUGCUCACUAAGCUGAAAACUUGAACUUUCAGGAUCAGUCCAGAGAAGACGACAAUCUUUCUCUUGCAACAUAACAAUGCUGUGCAUCUGUUUGAAUACCACAGGUCACUUUGCCCAUCUUGUCUGGACUGUCCUAGCACAUCCACCAUGUAGUCUGGAUUUGGCACCUUCUGACUUCCAUGUGCAUGGGCAACAUUUUCCUAGCAACAAUGCCACCAUAGCAGCUGUGAAACACUGUGUCACCUCUGCUGGUACAGUUUUUUAAUGAACACAUUAAAAAAGGCACACAAGAGCAUUCAGGCUCUUGUUCAUUGCUGGUGAAAAUAUAUAGCUAAUGGUGACAAAAUAGAAUUUUGUAGCUGAUAUUUUAUUCUAUCAAGUGGUAUUAUUGUGCUCUUUGGAUCUGUUGCAGCUUCCAUGUAAAUAAAUAGGAGGCAUUACUUUUGGAGCAACCUACAUAUAUCUUAUGCUUGAAAAUGUAUCUUUCUUCUAAAAGCAACCAGUAAAGAUGAGUGCCUUAUACAGCUAUUUUAGGAAUGACAGAUGGAAUGGGGGAUAUAUAGAAAAAACAUGGCCACCUUUUGCCAUUUUGGGAAGGGAAAAUUUUUUCUCUCAGUCCUCCUCCUUGGCCAUGCAAAGAUAGCAGAAAUCUUGUAUAGAGCACUGGAGUUCAAAGUAUAAUGGCCAUCACGGAUCACUAGUGUCUCGAGACCACUGAGUAGCAUUUCAGACCUCCUAUACUUUUCAAAAAUUCUCAUGUUUCUGAGACUAUGUAAGCAGGCAUUUCUUCCUGUCUCUGAUUAAUUCAUGAAAUGAUACUUGCAGUGUAUAUUACAGCAACAGUUAAUUUGGAAAGAGCUCUGCAGUCCAGGAAGGCAUCUUUUCUUCUUCUUCCAACUUCAUUGUAUAUUAUGGAGCAUCAUGACUUCCUUCUGAACAAAACUUGCACAACCUCUGGGUCACGUAAGCAAGAGUGGUUUGGUCAACCACAGCAGGAGUGAGAAUGAAACUCUUGGAAGUCCUGACUUUGGGUUUGUUGGGCUGAUUAGGGAGCGAAACUCUGAACUGAGAGCAGUAGCUGUUGACUUUAUAAUGGGUAUUAAAGAAGUGCUGGUCACAGACCAGUGUACAUUUUUGUCAGUCUUUAGUCCAUAGUGGGCUGGGAGGAGAAAGAAAUGGAGAGGAGAAAGCGAGGUGGGAAAAAGCAAUAUUCCUUUGUAAAGAAAUGAUGAAACAGUUAUGUUUGUAUCUCAAGAACUUAUUCCAAGAUUGAUAACUCGCUGGAGGAGAGCUGAUGACUUAUGGCAGUAUUUGAAUAUUGCACUGAAUUUAUGUUACUUGGCAACGGUAGCCUGCAUUAACAGAGCAGCAUGCCUCCUGGCUGGUCCAGCCUGUAUCCCUUCAAUCAAGCAUAGUGACGUGCCAGGCAGAGCUUAUAUCUGAGGCCUCUAUUAAAUUCCUUGUAAAAUUUCAGUGCAGCUGCUUCUCACAAAGUUAAAGGCUAUUUUAACCAUAUAUCUUUUCAGAAAUACUCUCAUAACUCAGGAAGGACCCUUGCUUCUCCUUCAGGGCCACGAAAGGCUUAGCACAUCUGGUGUUAUUAUACCUCCCUGCAGGGUCCGAGGCGCUGUGUUAUGCACAGUAUGCCAGAAUGGAAGUGAAGUGCUUUUGCUGCAUCCCAGGAAUUUCUCCUUUCCAUCAUAGGUGGGGGACAAGUGUUUCUCAUAGUGUUAAAGAGGCAUACGUACAGAAAAAAUCACAAAAAAGAAUAGUGUUAACUAGGAAUAGCUGAUCUUCAACGAUUUGUUCAAAAGGCUUUCCCCAUUAACUUGCCUGUCUUUCUCUCAGGCCUAUUUGCUUAGGUUGUAUCUUUUUUAAUAAUAAGAAAUCUAAAUAAAUGAACAGCAAGCAACCAAAGACCCAGCAUUACAUUUGCGUUUCACCAGGGACUGCUCAGAACGAAGAUAAUCAAAGCAGCUCCAGGCUUCUCAGAGACAUCUUAAGGUAAAUCAUAAUCCCUCCACCCCUCACUCUACUCUCUCUGUGGUGUGCUGAAGGAAGGAUUUGUGUAAUGAUCAUCCCUGACCAGGUUUUGGGGGGCUGGAGGGGAUGAGGGAGUUGCUGCAGAGCUGAAUGUAGCUCAGACCUGGAGAACACACCCAUUUAAUCAUGUUCACAUGCUUCUCCUUCUGAGCAGGGUAUUAGAAACAGUCUAUGAGAGUUGUUGGAAAGUUGUGCGCUUCUGUUCCUUUCCUGCUGGUGGGAAUGUGCUGUUUGAAAGGACAAAUGUGUUACAUGUGCCACUGCAAAUUGGUUCAGCGUGGCAUUUAGAGCCAGAUUAAAAACACGUACCCUUGAAAAAAAGAGGCCAUUAAAAUCAGGAGCUUUACAUGGUAGCAGUUUUAGAAGCUGAUGGUGUCCAUGUCAGAGGAAGUAAAUGCCCCAAGAACUUCCACAAGAGAAGAGUUACCCUGAGACAGACAGUGCUCAUAUGAAAGCUUUUGAAAACUGUAUUUUCUAAAAUCUAUUUGAUAGUGUUGUGAGCUGAAAGAGGAGAACAACUCUGUUGAAACAUAGUAAGGAGUGCAGAGUUGUCUACAUCCCUUGCUCUCAUGCCAUCACGAAUUACCUACUUACUGAUUAACUCUUAUCUAUGAAUUUUGAAGAAAAAAAAAAAAAAAAGUAGAGAGUAAUAAUGAAACUGUUAUACUGAUUUUGGUUGCAAAAAGAAAAAAAACACAAUAGUUUGCUAAAGAUCGUUUCAGUCAUAAUCAACCUCAGAUAAAUUUGCAUGACAAUACAGCACAACUAGAAUGCUUUGCACUUACCCUAACUAUAUCAUGAGAAGAUUAAUUUUGAGACAGCCACAAUCUGAAACUCCGCAGUUACACCGAGUCAUAGUUCCCAGACCAAGGCAGUUCAGCUGAAGACUUCUGAAUGUCAUUCCCAUUGCUCCUUCACUGAAAAACCUUGCCUCUUGUUAGAAACAAGACUGAACAAAUCAUUUAUAGAGAUCAGAAGUCUGGCGACUCUGAAGGGCUGAUUUUAGAGAUUCCUGAGUUUGGUUUUGUUUACCCCAAGAUGAAUUGGGCAUGUCAGUUUAACUUAGAAAUUGAACAGUUUUUGCUUUUACAAAGAAUAAAUUACUAUUGGCUGCUUGAGUUUUUGAAGAUUUUUAGUAAAUAAAUGACAAGAGUUGCAAAGCUGUAGUUUGAAACAAUGUGUUUUUUUUUUCUUUUG